UACAGAGGUCUCAAGCGUUGUUCGGAUUCAUUGGGCGUAAAGCGUGCGUAGGCGGCUGAGAAAGUUGGGUGUGAAAUCCCUCGGCUCAACCGAGGAAUUGCGCUCAAAACUACUUGGCUUGAGGGAGUUAGAGGUGAGCGGAACUAAUGGUGGAGCGGUGAAAUGCGUUGAUAUCAUUAGGAACACCGGUGGCGAAAGCGGCUCACUGGGACUCUUCUGACGCUGAGGCACGAAAGCUAGGGUAGCGAACGGG
rnacentral:rRNA from 1 species